CGUGGCGCAUCCCGCUUCCGUGUUGAACUGUUUGUAUUCUGAGUACAGGGACGUAUGUGCGCAUUUACCUCCACGUUUGAUCGUGGGUGGAGUGGUUCCUGUUAAGUGCCGAAGUUUGAAUGUUCCUGUUUGGGUGGAAGUGAAAAGAGCUGGACCUGGUCGGAGUCAUCACUGUUGGUCACGCACUUGACGCUGCUGUCUUGCCUGGACGGAGUGACUGCUUGUCUCCCUGAAAUCAGAACAAGGAGCGGCUGCUGUCGUUCUGUUCCGGAUUGGAUCGUUCCGUCCAUCUUGCCGUGCCUGUCAAGCAUAAGGAUUUUAUGGACAUCUUUCAUGGACACUUUUAUGGAUCUUUUAUUUGUAUUUUAACAACCUUUCUUUUGUUCAUUUUUCUAGACCGCCGGUGGUGCGCUCGGGCCUGGAUGUGGCGUUCCUUUUGUUUUGGGUGUGAUUGUGCCGUGAUUAACACCAAUCGGUGGAGGGAACUACAAGGAGUGAGUGAUUCACGGGUGUUUGUUUUGAUGUUUUUUUUUUUUUUUUUUUGCUUUGGAACCGACCAUCCAGGGCCUGGUCGUACCACUGGUAAGCCUAGCCGGACCUAUUUUGUGACUUUCCUGUUUGCUCAGGUAUAAGUGUCUUUUGUGAUGAUAAAUUAUUGACUUGAAACCUGUCUCUUGCUGAUUGCAAAACCGGACCUGUGUCCUUGAUUGUUAGUUCCUGGGUGGAAACCCCAGGUGGCGUUGUUGGCAACAAACGAAAUGAAUUGUAUGGUUGCUCCACUUUAUGCCACAGUUGUAACAUGGCAAUGUGGGGGAAAGCAACUGGAAAGUUUGAAGCUCUAACUGUGAGCUUCCUUUCUAAAUGAGCAGCUGCUAACAAGCAACUCAGAGGUUCACAGUGAAGUGUUCUUCAUUUAAUCAUUAAAAAAGUUCAAAGUUGGUUUGGAAGAUUCUACUUUUUUCAUUUGUCCCAUUGCCUCCACAGCAGUUUGUUUCAAGCUCAGAUUUGGUUUCCAAACCAAAAAGAGGAGAAAAUCCGGUGACUGUGCUGCAGGGAAACACCAGAGAACAGAUGAAAUUAAAACAAUCUGAGCACCAUGCACUACAAGAAACUGUGGGACUAAAAAAAAAAAGAUCUGCAGAAAGAAUCAAGGAAGACAAACCUUAAAAAGGCACCAAUUUAUGUCAUGAUGACUACAUUACACCAGCAGAGGUUAUUUUCUCUGCUGUCUACACAGAGGAAUUGGGCCUAAAUGGUGAAGAAGUGCUGUGAGGAGGCUUUUUGGACGGGGUCCUGGCAGAGCACCAGUCUUAUAACCUCUAAAUAAAAGGCUCACAGACUUUCAGGGUGGCUCACGCUGCGGUAUAAAAUGAGUCGGGGCGAUUCUUUCUGAAGUGCUGAUGGAGUCCUGUUGGCCUCUAAGUGAUUUCUGGGGCUCUGCUGGUUCAAAUGGACAGCAGCUCCUUCAGAUCACUUCAUCUCUCCUGCAGCGGCCUCUCGGCAGCAUCUCUGUCUUUGUCCUUUUAAAAUGUCACUGGAAACCUUAACUCUUCAGUGGCUACACAUCAACUCUUUCAUUACGUUUUAUUUUUUUCAGACUUGUUACUUCAGCAAAAUGUUUGUGUGACUGAUAGUAAUUGUCCAGUUUGUCAAUAAAUUCUCGUUACAGUACGGUCCA